rnacentral:rRNA from 1 species
UACGAAGGGGGCUAGCGUUGCUCGGAAUUACUGGGCGUAAAGCGCACGUAGGCGGAUUGUUAAGUCGGGGGUGAAAUCCUGGAGCUCAACUCCAGAACUGCCUUCGAUACUGGCGAUCUCGAGUUCGGGAGAGGUGAGUGGAACUGCGAGUGUAGAGGUGAAAUUCGUAGAUAUUCGCAAGAACACCAGUGGCGAAGGCGGCUGACUGGUCCGGAUCUGACGCUGAGGCGCGAAAGCGUGGGGAGCAAACAGGGAUUAAGAAACC